rnacentral:rRNA from 1 species
GUAAGGAAUAUUGGUCAAUGGACGCAAGUCUGAACCAGCCAUGCCGCGUGAGGGAUGAAGGUCCUCUGGAUUGUAAACCUCUUUUAUCUAUGAAGAAAUGCCCGAUUUCUAUUGGGCUUGACGGUAAUAGAUGAAUAAGCACCGGCUAACUCCGUGCCAGCAGCCGCGGUAAUACGGAGGGUGCAAGCGUUAUCCGGAUUUACUGGGUUUAAAGGGUGCGUAGGUGGGUUGGUGAGUCAGUGGUGAAAUACUUUCGCUUAACGAAGGAACUGCCAUUGAUACUACCAGCCUUGAAUACAGUGGAGGUGGGCGGAAUGCGUCAUGUAGCGGUGAAAUGCUUAGAUAUGACGCAGAACACCAAUUGCGAAGGCAGCUUGCUACGCUGUUAUUGACACUGAGGCACGAAAGCGUGGGGAUCAAACAGGAUUAGAUACCCCAGUAGUCC